UACGUAGGGUGCAAGCGUUGUCCGGAAUUAUUGGGCGUAAAGAGCUCGUAGGCGGUUUGUCGCGUCGGCUGUGAAAACUCGGGGCUCAACCCCGAGCCUGCAGUCGAUACGGGCAAACUAGAGUGUGGUAGGGGAGACUGGAAUUCCUGGUGUAGCGGUGAAAUGCGCAGAUAUCAGGAGGAACACUGGUGGCGAAGGCGGGUCUCUGGGCCGAUACUGACGCUGAGGAGCGAAAACGUGGGGAGCGAACAGG
rnacentral:rRNA from 1 species